rnacentral:lncRNA from 10 species
UUGUGCACAUGGGAAGUGUUCAUAAGUCUCUAAGGAUCUUUUUUAUUUCUGUGGGCUUGAAAGCAAUGCCUUCGUUGUCAUUUCUCAAUGUGUUUAUUUGGAUAUCUUUUUUCUUUUGUUAAUAAAGCUAGUGGUCUAUCGACCUUGUUUAUCUUUUCAAACAGCAGCUUUUCAUUCUGUUGUCCUUUAUAUUUUUGGGGAGGGAGUCUCAAUUUCAUUUUGUUCUACUUUUAUUUUUGUAUUUUCAUUAAUUACGCUAGGUUUGGGAUUAGCUGAUUCUUGUUUUACUUGUUUUUUUAGAUUUGAUAUUAGAAUGUUAAUUUGAGAUCUUCUUAUCUUCUUGAUGUAGAUAAAUAGCACUAUAAACUUUCACUCUUUUGGCCACAUUGCAAAAGUUUUGAUAUGUUUGGUCUCUGUUUUCAUUUGUUACAUUUUUUUUAAAUUUCUGCCUUAAUUUUGCGGUUUACCCAAAAGUCAUUCAAGAGUAAAUUGAUCAGUUCCUAUGUAAUUUUGUCGUUUUGAGAGAUCAUCUUGGUAUUGAUUUCUGCUUUUAUUCUACUGUUGCCUCGAAUGACUUUAGAAAAAUGAGAAUGUGUGGUUCCUUUGCCAUCCUGCACUCCACAAAAAAAAGAUCAGAUGUAAAUCUGGCAGAGAGGAUCAGAACUGGCUGCCUCUCUUGGUUCUUCUCUCUCAGUGUUGACUCCAUCCACAAACUCUCUUGGUGCUUUUUCAGACAGUCUUGCUCUGAUGCCCCAGGCUGGAGUGCAGUGAUGGAUUGGCUCACCCUGCAACCUUUGCCUCCCGGAUUCAAGCAAUUCUCCUGUCUCAGCCUCCCGAGUAGCUGGGACUACAGGCACAGGCCACCAUGCCUGGCUAAUAUUUGUAUUUUUAGUAGAGACAGGGUUUCACCAUAUUGGUCAGGCUGAUCUUGAACUCCUGACCUCAGGUGAUACGCCUGCCUCAGCCUCCCAAAGUGUUGGGAUUACAGGCAUGAACCGCCAUGCCAGGCCUGUCAAAACUUUUGUGUAAAUCGGUCCCUCUGUUCAACAUGCAAUUCUUCCUUAAAAUGUAGUAUAUUUUAAUACAUUACUUUGUUAUGUUUUGUCAUCAUUUUGAUUUUAUCUUCUUCCAAUGUAAUUUUUUUAAAUAAUAAAAUUUAAUAUAUAUCAAGUAGCAUAUCUUCAGUUCCUGGAGCCUAGAGCUUUCACCUUCUUGUUGGAUUAAACAAAAUAUUUAAAAAGCCUCAGCAGUUGGAGGAGUUUAUUCAAUAAAUGCAUAUGUUUAUUAAUGUGUUGUUUCUGAAGCUUUUCCUUUGAUGAUCUCUUACCCACAUCUUUACUUAACAUCAUAUGAUCCAAUGUAACACAUCCUUAUUUGAAAUAUUGUGUAUUGUAAUAGUUAUAACCAAUUGUGACUAAAAUUAAUUUUUAAAAGGAGAAAAUGCUAUAAAGCAUGCCAAAUUAUU